AGCACAGAGAGUUAAGCUGCGAACGAGAGAAAGAUAAGGGAAAUCGACGAUUAAAAACAUUUUUUCAAUUUUUGGAGAAGGAGCGUUCGGCAUUUUUUCAACCUGACUGCGUUCAGGAUUGUGUUAUAUGUUACAGAACUGGACUUGGAGAGUUAAAAGGUGUAUUUUAUUUUCUGAGAAGAACGUAUUUGUAAAGUAUUUUUAUUUAGUUGAAACGGAAAGCUAAAGUAGCGCAUUUAUGUUGUUUCAUGUUCAAAAACUGUGGAAGUAACGGAUGAGCAAAGGCCUUUCAAGUUCUGCUGGACAUUGGACCAGGAAAUUCCGAGUCGAUUGCUGAGUUGGAUUCCGCUAGUGAGAAACAAGAUGGCGAGCCGUAACCCAGGAGCCCUGUAACCGUCUAUAGCAGGAGCUACGCCCUCUGCUGGAUACUGCAAAUCAUCCAAACUGGUUUGACCGAGUCCGGGACCAGUCCAGCCCGCUAGCAGGGAUCUGGAUCUCCUCGCCCUGGGUGUCCUGACGCAGCGAGCAUCACCAAGUUGGCUUCCCUCUCUCUCUGCUUCCCCGGGCAGACAUUCUUCGGACCCCGAUCCAACAGACAUGUGUGAAGCUGAAAUCGGUGGAAGAGAGUUUACAAGCAGCACAAGCCAGCAGCUCCACCAUGGAGAAGACGGUUGGGUGAUUCUCACGAACAUGGCGCAACUUAUAGCAAAAAUAAAUUGUAUACACACAAAAAGACACCUUCUUUAUAAAAUAGAAUCUAAUUUUAUUUUUCAAUGUAAAAUUGUAACCUCUAUGCAUAUUUUUUUAAGGUAUUUUUAGACAUUUUAGUCUGACUUUGAGGAAAUAAAUUCAUUACCGUAGCACAAUUUUGAUGAAGAAAUAUGAAACCACAAAAACAUUUUUACACUUUUUUUUGGACACCAAGUCACAAAGGAGAAUGUACCAACAAAGAAUAGUC